rnacentral:lncRNA from 1 species
UUUGGCACUACUGGAACUAUGCUUGAUAUCAUCAUGGGCAUUAGCCAAUGCGAGCGGGAGCAUGCUGAGCGGCAGAUGAAGCUUUUAGAAGCUCAAAACCUUUCUGCCAAUGCUUCAGCAGAUGGUGAAAACUGAUCAAGUUCUUUGAUUAUUAGGACAAGCAAAAUGCAGCUGUUGUUUUUCGUAACUUACUAGUUGAUCUGUAAUUGGCAUGAUCUUCUGCUCUUGUACAAAUUUGUCCAUCCAAAAUACGGAAAUCUUGAUAUUUUAAAUAUUCUCCAAUAAGUAUAUUGAGCAGUGGUUAAUCCUUGAUUUUUUUUGUGAUUUGAUUAAGUUGCCCCCAAGUCCUAGAAAUAAAUCACAAAACCUGGCAUUUUGCGUUACCGGGGUUCCAAAACUCCAACCAGGGGUUUUGUGAAAUUUACUCAUGUUGUAAUUAUGCUUGCCGUGGCCCAUGUAGACCAUACUUGUUGUGGUCUGUGUGGCGAUCAACCGUUCAUAGAUCACCAAACACCGUUUUCAAGAUUGGUAUAUGUGUUCUUUACAUAUUUGUGUGAAGCAAGAUGAAGAGAGAGACCAGUUAAGUAUGCUACUUUGAUCAAAAGAAGUUGGAGGAGGAGCUCUGAUCAAAUGAAUUAUCAAACGAUCAUUAACCUUCUCCAUAGUUCAGAUAGUAAAUAGCAAAAACACAGAUACAAUCAUCCAAAUAACCUGAACCUCUUCUUGAAUGCAGAUCCAAGCUUUUUAACAAUCUGAAAAUUUCCCCAAAAAAGUACUUCCUACUCAUCUACCACACUGCUGAAUAUGCUGCAAACAAACAAUCCCUGAGUUUGAACUCAAUAUUCACUCAAUUUAUACAGCUGAAAUCAUAACCAAGUCAAGAACACACUGAAAUGAUUUAUAUUCGCCCAACAAAAGGAUAGUCAUCCAAUUGUGAAUUUGCAGAUGACAUUGAUAUUUGCGAACUAGUCUAGUGCUGCUUCUCCUCUACUUGGUAUUCACAGAACCAAAACUGAAGUAGCUUCGCUCUUGCCCUUGGCUUACAAUGAAUGCACUUCUUGGUAGCAUUACAAAUAUCCUGGUACAAGGAGGCAAAGAGCAUGUACGGCUAAGAACACACCAGUAUAAAAUUCGAGAAGAGAUCUAUAUACCAUCAAAUUAUCAAGACUUACCCAAGUGAAACAAAAAUUAUCCAAGACUAAGUCCAUUAAAGAAGCCCAUGCUGACUGCAAAACAGUUCACAUAGAUCAUAAAAAUUGAUUUUGUUGCAACAAAAGGGAAAGAACAAACUGCACUAUACACACACACACACACACAUACCAUGAAACCACCCUUCUCAUUUCGUGAAGUAAUAAACAACCUGUUUCUUUUGUUAUCUUCAAAUUUGAUUUACAGAUAGUACAGCCAACUGAUGGAAUCAAAUUCUGGAUGUCUGAAAUGAUACAAAUUCUUGUGUUAUUUAUUGACAGAAGAGAAUAUACAAUAGAUAUUUUUUGUCAGAAACUUUCAAGCGAUAGUACUUAUGUAUCACAAUUCAUAAGCAAAGAAACUGGAAGUAAAACAAAUCUGCGAUUAAGUAAAACAGAAGUGGAAUCCUGAAAUACUGGAUUUUUUAAUGGCACCAAAAUAACUACAAAAAUGUAACAGAUCUCCUACUGUAGCCAAUGCGAGCGGGAGCAUGCUGAGCGGCAGAUGAAGCUUUUAGAAGCUCAAAACCUUUCUGCCAAUGCUUCAGCAGAUGGUGAAAACUGACCAAGUUCUUUGAUUAUUAGGACAAGCGAAAUGCAGCUGUUGUUUUUCGUAACUUACUAGUUGAUCUGUAAUUGGCAUGAUCUUCUGCUCUUGUACAAAUUUGUCCAUCCAAAACACAGAAAUCUUGAUAUUUUAAAUAUUCGCCAAUAAGUAUAUUGAGCAGUGGCUAAUCCUUGAUUUUUUUUGUGAAUUGAUUAAGUUGCCCCAAGUCCAAGAAAUAAAUCACAAAACCUGGCAUUUUGCGUUACUGGGUUCCCAAAACUCUAGCUAGGGGUUUUGUGAAAUUUACUCAUGUUGUAAUUAUGCUUGCCGUGGCCCAUGUAGACCAUACUCGUUGUGGUCUGUGUGGCGAUCAACCGUUCAUAGAUCACCAAACACCGAUUUCAAGAUUGGUAUCUGUGUUGUUCUUUACAUAUUUGUGUGAAGCACUACUUUGAUCAAAAGAAGUUGGAGGAGGAGCUCUCAUCGAAUGAAUUAUCAAACGAUCAUCAACCUUUU